AUUGAACGCUGGCGGCAGGCCUAACACAUGCAAGUCGAACGAGUGGCGGACGGGUGAGUAAUGUCUGGGAAACUGCCUGAUGGAGGGGGAUAACUACUGGAAACGGUAGCUAAUACCGCAUACCCUCCUAUGUGCCCAGAUGGGAUUAGCUAGUAGGUGGGGAAAAGGCUCACCAAGGCGACGCUCCCUAGCUGGUCUGAGAGGAUGACCAGCCACACUGGAACUGAGACACGGUCCAGACUCCUACGGGAGGCAGCAGUGGGGAAUAUUGCACAAUGGGCGCAAGCCUGAUGCAGCCAUGCCGCGUGUAUGAAGAAGGCCUUCGGGUUGUAAAGUACUUUCAGCGGGGAGGCGUUACCCGCAGAAGAAGCACCGGCUAACUCCGUGCCAGCAGCCGCGGUAAUUC
rnacentral:rRNA from 1 species